GACGUAGGGAGCGAGCGUUGUCCGGAUUCAUUGGGCGUAAAGAGCGCGCCGGCGGUUUGGUAAGUCGGAUGUGAAAACCCGGGGCUCAACCCCGGGCGUGCAUCUCGAUACUGCCCGACUAGAGGUAGGUAGGGGAGAUCGGAAUUCCUGGUGUAGCGGUGAAAUGCGCAGAUAUCAGGAGGAACACCGGUGGCGAAGGCGGAUCUCUGGGCCUUACCUGACGCUCAGGCGCGAAAGCUAGGGGAGCGAACAGG
rnacentral:rRNA from 1 species